GACGAACGCUGGCGGCAUGCUUAACACAUGCAAGUUGUACGAGAUGAUUUUCUUCGGAUAUCAUUUAGUGGCGGACGGGUGCGUAACGCGUAAGAAUCUACCCUUAGGUGUGGGAUAACUAUUGGAAACGAUAGCUAAUACCGCAUAUGCUGAGGAGUGAAAGCUUGAAAAAGCGCCUAGGGAUGAGCUUGCGUCUGAUUAGUUUGUUGGUGGGGUAAAGCUUACCAAGACUACGAUCAGUAGUUGGUCUGAGAGGAUGAUCAGCCACACUGGGACUGAGACACGGCCCAGACUCCUACGGGAGGCAGCAGUGAGGAAUUUUCCGCAAUGGGCGAAAGCCUGACGGAGCAAUGCCGCGUGGAGGAUGAAGGCUCGCGGGUCGUAAACUCCUUUUCUCGAAGAAGAAACAAAUGACGGUACUCGAGGAAUAAGUAUCGGCUAACUUCGUG
rnacentral:rRNA from 1 species